rnacentral:rRNA from 1 species
GAUGAACGCUGGCGGCGUGCCUAAUACAUGCAAGUCGAGCGAACAGAUGAGGAGCUUGCUCCUCUGACGUUAGCGGCGGACGGGUGAGUAACACGUGGAUAACCUACCUAUAAGACUGGGAUAACUUCGGGAAACCGGAGCUAAUACCGGAUAAUAUAUUGAACCGCAUGGUUCAAUAGUGAAAGACGGUUUUGCUGUCACUUAUAGAUGGAUCCGCGCCGCAUUAGCUAGUUGGUAAGGUAACGGCUUACCAAGGCAACGAUGCGUACCCGACCUGAGAGGGUGAUCGGCCACACUGGAACUGAGACACAGUCCAGACUCCUACGGGAGGCAGCAGUAGGGAAUCUUCCGCAAUGGGCGAAAGCUUGACGGAGCAACGCCGCGUGAGUGAUGAAGGUCUUCGGAUCGUAAAACUCUGUUAUUAGGGAAGAACAAAUGUGUAAGUAACUAUGCACGUCUUGACGGUACCUAAUCAGAAAGCCACGGCUAACUACGUG